rnacentral:rRNA from 1 species
UACGUAGGGCGCAAGCGUUGUCCGGAAUUAUUGGGCGUAAAGAGCUCGUAGGCGGUUUGUCGCGUCUGCCGUGAAAACCCGAGGCUUAACCUCGUGGCUUGCGGUGGAUACGGGCAGACUAGAGGCAGGUAGGGGGAAGCGGAAUUCCCGGUGUAGUGGUGGAAUGCGUAGAUACUCAGGAGGAACACCGGUGGCGAAGGCGGGUCUCUGGGCCGAUAUUGACGCUGAGGAGCGAAAGCGUGGGGAGCAAACAGG